UGCGCUGCCUCGUCAGAUGAUGGUCA
rnacentral:piRNA from 1 species